rnacentral:rRNA from 1 species
CCUACGGGAGGCAGCAGUGAGGAAUAUUGGUCAAUGCGCGCUAGCCUGAACCAGCCAAGUAGCGUGAAGGAUGACUGCCCUAUGGGUUGUAAACUUCUUUUAUAUGGGAAUAAAGUGCAGUAUGUAUACUGCUUUGCAUGUACCUUAUGAAUAAGGAUCGGCUAAUUCCGUGCCAGCAGCCGCGGUAAUACGGAGGAUCCGAGCGUUAUCCGGAUUUAUUGGGUUUAAAGGGAGCGUAGGCGGGGUGUUAAGUCAGAUGUGAAAGUUUGCGGCUCAACCGUACAAUUGCGGUGGGGACUGGCAUCCGUGAGUGCAGGAAAGGUAGGCGGAAUUCGUGGUGUAGCGGUGAAAUGCUUAGAUAUCACGAAGAACUCCGAUUGCGAAGGCAGCCUGCUGGACUGUAACUGACGCUGAUGCUCGAAAGUGUGGGUAUCAAACAGGAUUAGAUACCCGAGUAGUC